rnacentral:lncRNA from 1 species
ACAUUAAAAGAUAAAAAGGCUAAGGAAUUAUUUAUAAGUUGUAGAGUUAUUAGUAUUAGUAGCAGUAGUUUCUUAGUCCAGAACAUAUGCAAUUGCCUGCGACUUUAAAUCAGAAAGCGGCGAUUCUUCGUGGGGGCACCUAAUUUUCCUCUGGCCAAUCAAAUGUCUUUACUUUUACACAUAGCGACGGUAGCAGCCAAUAGGAGCAUCUCAUGUGAGGAAGCCGAAGACAUGGCGCUGCGCAUAGGACGUGCUUGCAGAAGAGAGUCCGUGUUGAUGCAGGGUUGUUUAUCUCCCCUGCCCCCUUUGCUUACACACUGAUGUAGGCCUUCUGGAUUUACUGUGGCGUUUCUACAGAUGCUGUGAAGUUUGCUGUCUGCAGAGUCGAGGCGCCUGCUCUGCCAUUUGCAUCCACCUGGCAGUUUAGUAAAUUCAUUAGCCGGAGGCAAGAAAACAAACACGCUGCCCUUUCCACCCUCCCACCUCCACUCUGCCUUUCCACGUUCGCUCUUUUUAUUCCCUGCUACCCUCCGCUCUGCAUUUGUAUUCCAGAUUCCACGAGAUUCUGUAUGUUAAUACUGUAUUCAGUGGUAUGGAAUGUUGGAUUAUAGCCAUAGCCUUUAGUCAUGUUUCCACUGUUACGCUAAUUAAACCAAACCCUGUAUUUACUUUCGAGAAACGCACAGCAGCAUGUCUGUUGAGCAUAUUGAGCAGAAAUUUUGUAUCGUAAAUGCAUUUAAAUAAGCCCUCAGUUUUGAGAAGUUACAUUGCUCAUAAUGAUUCUUGCUGUGGCCGUCCGAUGUAAUAUAUUCAGCAUACCGUACAGACCGCAAAUCUGCAGAUCGCAGCGGCUCUGUUUCAGAGCGUUUCCCAACAGGGCAACGCUGGAUUCCUGACCCCACAUUGGGCCAGGUGCCAUAUAUCGUGGUUCUGGAACUUACUUGCUCAGCUCCUCCUUCUGCGCUGCGCUGGGUGAAAAUGUGGCAGCUAUAAACAUUGGUUAUAUGAAUUUGCUUGAAUGAUUGAGUAAAAUAAGUUUUUAGCUGUGCAUUAUCACCAUAGACCACAAUUCAGACCCAGUAGUCUGAUCCGUGGGGUUUGUCAUUUGAUUGUUGGGUAAUACUCGAUCAGAACGAGCCAAGCAUCAUUAAGAGCCUGAAGCCUGAACCGAAGAACCUCGUUUUUUUGCCUGCUUGAGAUGGACCGCAAGGACCAAAGCCUGUUUGAGUGAAUUCUUAACUAGAAUAUGGUUGGAUUUUUAAUUACUGUCCUCACAAGGUCUUGUGUGUGAGUGGAGGUGGGCGGCCUCGGUGGAUUUGGUGACUUGUGUUGUGGAGCAGAAGUAGGUUGGGCUUCAGGAAAGUGUGUCAGAAGCAAUCGGGUCUAAGCCAGUAUUAAUUAAAGGAUCUGGACUGGGCUGAAGGGAGGGGGGUGUUCUGUCACAUCACUGCUGGGUCACACACAACACACACGCGUGCGCGUGCACGCACAGACCACAACAGCCUCAAAAACACAUUAUUCUUUAUUUACUUAGAGAUUUUUCUAUUAACACUUUAAGAACCACAUUUUAUUAUGAACUAGAACUAUAUCUCAAGUGUUUUCCCCCAUUUCAUCCAGACGUGUCACCAGUAACACUUACACAUUUGUGCUGGUAUCUGGCUUGAUACAGAGCUCUAGCCAAACGUCAGUCAUGCGUGCAGCAUUUGAAUGGCCGUCCUGUUGAUAUUAGCUGUUUAGAUGCUAUUAGUGCAGGUCUGGUGGAAACAUUCAUGCCUGAGAGAGUCUGAAUCCUGCAUAAAAUCUAAUAGUUCUGUAAAUGCUCAUGGUUCUUGACAGGUUUUACUGACCCAGGGUCAGCACGAGUGUCACAGUCUCUUUGUUAAGUAAUGGCAGUGCCCGUUUCUGUGUCUUUUCUGGGUUCAGGGUAUUGUAGAGGAAAGGGGGACACCCAUGAAAGAGGCACCUCUCAUUUGUUCCAUGUCUAACCACCAACUCAAGCAUGUAUGAGUUUAUCAGGGCAAUUUGUGCCCUGGGAAAUGUGAUUCAAAACAUUGGUCUCCUUUUCCUUUCCGUAAACACGUGUAAUUUUAUAAAAAUCAGUCAUGAUUUCCCAAGUUUUUAAAAGCACACACAGGAGAUGCUACAGAAAUACAUGCAAUACCAUGUCCUACCACUUGAGGGCGAGGUAAACUAAUCAGGCUUUUGUUGAGCAGCUUUAGAGGAAGUGUUUUGGAUCGCAAAAGAGUAAACUGUCCUUUACUAUGGAUGGGCAAUUCCACUCAUUUGAUUUUAGACCCAGUACUUUUUAAAUAGGCAAAUAUUAAAAUCAGUACUUAUACCUGAAAAAAAAAGUUUGUGAUUUCUAUGGAUAAAGUGAGUAAUUAUAGUAAUUUAGCUUAUUUCAAUAGGCAAUAUUAACAUUUGAAUUUGCAUAAACAAAUUUUUAUAUCCUAACUUGCUUUUCAUUUAUUAACAGCAAUUUUUAUUCACUUUGAAGCAUGAUACAUGUUCAUUUCAAUGGUAAAUAAAAGUCAUUAAUUACUUAAAUGUUCAAUAUAGAACUGAAUAUAUGUCAUACAGUAUAUAUGUAAAUAUUACAAUAAAAAAUAAAAAUCAAUAUUUCCAUUUGCUGUCUGACAUUACCAUGCAGAAAUGAACUGAAUUCAAAGUCAUUCCCGUGCCAUUUGUUUGGGCUGGGC